rnacentral:rRNA from 1 species
GAACCUGGCGGCAUGCUACCAUGCAGUCGAACGAGACUUCGGGUCUAGUGGCGCCGGGUGCGUAACGCGUGGGAUUGCCCUUGGGUUCGGAAUAACAGUUAGAAAUGACUGCUAAUACCGGAUGAUGACUUCGGUCCAAAGAUUUAUCGCCCAAUGAUGAGCCCGCGUCGGAUUAGCUUGUUGGUGAGGUAAAAGCUCACCAAGGCGACGAUCCGUAGCUAGUCUGAGAGGAUGAUCAGCCACACUGGGACUGAGACACGGCCCAGACUCCUACGGGAGGCAGCAGUGGGGAAUAUUGGACAAUGGGCGAAAGCCUGAUCCAGCAAUGCCGCGUGAGUGAUGAAGGCCUUAGGGUUGUAAAAGCUCUUUUACCCGGGAUGAUAAUGACCGUACCGGGGGAAUAAGCCCCGGCUAACUCCGUGCCAGCAGCCGCGGUAAUACGGAGGGGGCUAGCGUUGUUCGGAAUUACUGGGCGUAAGCGCACGUAGGCGGCUUUGUAAGUUAGAGGUGAAAGCCCAGUGCUCAACCCUGGAAUUGCCUUUAAGACUGCAUCGCUUGAACAUCGGAGAGGUAAGUGGAAUUCCGAGUGUAGAGGUGAAAUUCGUAGAUCUUCGGAAGAACACCAGUGGCGAAGG